CUUUACUGUAGCUUUGCAUUGGACUUUGACGGGACUUGUGUAGGAUAGGUGGGAGGCUGUGAGACGUGGUCGCUAGAUCACGAGGAGCCAACCUUGAAAUACCACCCUGGUGUCGUUGAGGUUCUAACCUUGGACCGUGAAUCCGGUUCGGGGACCGUGCAUGGUAGGCAGUUUGACUGGGGCGGUCUCCUCCCAAAGUGUAACGGAGGAGUACGAAGGUCUUCUAGGUACGGUCGGACAUCGUACUGAUAGUGCAAUGGCAAAAGAAGGCUUAACUGCGAGACUGACAAGUCGAGCAGGUGCGAAAGCAGGUCAUAGUGAUCCGGUGGUUCUGUAUGGAAGGGCCAUCGCUCAACGGAUAAAAGGUA
rnacentral:rRNA from 1 species